GGCCACCGCUAUUGGAAUCCGAUUAAGACAUGUGAGUCGAGAGUCUUAGGGACUCGGCGGACGGCUCAGUAACACGCGGAUAAUCUGCCCUUAGGUGGGGAAUAAUCUCGGGAAACUGAGCAUAAUACCCCAUAGGCCUGAGAUGCUGGAACGCUCUCAGGCUAAAAGCUCCGGCGCCUAAGGAUGAGUCUGCGGCCUAUCAGCUUGUAGUUGGUGUAAAUGACCAACUAGGCGACGACGGGUACGGGCAUUGGGAGAUGUAGCCCGGAGAUGGACUCUGAGACACGAGUCCAGGCCCUACGGGGCGCAGCAGUCGCGAAAACUUCACAAUGUGGGAAACCGCGAUGAGGAGAUUCCAAGUGCUUGCGUUUUGCGUAAGCUGUUCUUCUGCCUAAAAAGCAGGGGAAGUAAGGGCUGGGUAAGACGGGUGCCAGCCGCCGCGGUAAUACCCGCAGCCCGAGUGGUGGUCGAUAUUAUUGAGCUUAAAGCGUCCGUAGCCUGUCUGGUAAAUUCUUGGGUAAAUCGUGCAGCUUAACUGUCCGAAUUCCGGGGAGACUGCCAGACUUGGGACCGGGAGAGGUUGGAGGUACUCCUGGGGUAGGGGUAAAAUCCCGUAAUCCUGGGAGGACCACCAGUGGCGAAGGCGUCCAACUGGAACGGAUCCGACGGUCAGGGACGAAGCCCUGGGUCGCGAACUGGAUUAGAUACCCAGGUAGUCCAGGGUGUAAACGCUGCAGACUUGGUGUCGGAGGUCCUACGGGGGCGUCCGGUGCCGGAGAGAAAUUGUUAAGUCUGCCGCUUGGGGAGUACGUCCGCAAGGAUGAAACUUAA
rnacentral:rRNA from 1 species